GCCAAACCUGGAGCCGGGUGCAAGGUCUCCCCAGCUGCGCGCCGCUCCUUGGAGCGAAGCGUCUUUGCCAUUGAGCGCUUCGCCUCAGCGUCACCUGCGAGGCAGGUCUCCCCUCCGUGCCUCGUCUCACCUAGACCCUCAGGACUGUCAGGUCGCACCAUUUUAAUUUCCUUCCGUAGUGUAGAAAUAUUUCUCUCGUCUGGUCCCUUUCCUCCCCCCACCCCCCGCCUUCCGCUGUAGAACUGUAUAAAAUGUCUAGAUAUGGAGAGAAGCUGCAUUUUCCUUUUUAAAACAAAUAGCUAAUGAACUCGAACUGGGCAAAAAGACCUUCCAGAGUGCCUGGGUGGCUCAGCUGGUUAAGCAUCUGCCUGGGGCUCUUGGGCUCAGGUCGUGAUCCCGGGGUCCCCAAUGGAGCCACAUCAGGCUCCCUGCCCAGUGGAGGGCCUGCUUCUCCCCUUCUCCCCUCUGCCCCUCCCCUCAUCUCCCCUCCCCCCCCGCCCCGCCUCCCGCCCCGGCUUAUUCUCUCUCUCUCUCUCUCUCUCAAAAAUACGUAAGAUCUUUUUAAAAAAAUAAAAAGACCUCGAACUUUGCCAGAAACAGCAAUUGUUUUAGGAGCAGUUGUUCAUAGAGUCGACGGGGGCCGGCGUCUGACCGGGAACACUGUCAGCGUGGACUUCUCGAAGACAGUAAUCAGUGCAUACCAUGGGUGGUUUCCUUCGUUAGCAACGGUGACACAUUUUUCUGGUGGCUGCUGGAAUCUCUGCUGCCCGGAUUGCAAUUCUGAUGAGACCCCAAAUAAAGAGACGCCUUUGUUCUUGUUCA